CAAUUUAUGUGCAUAAUUGCAUAUACCUGUGGUCUCAUGCAAUUAAAAAUUAAAUCCUACACUCUGUGGAAUAUUGCUAGGUAGUGCAAAUUAUUCAAGGACUCAGCUUUGGGACAGUUAAUCCGCACAGUUGCGGUUGUCCAGAGUCCCAUCCAUUUUAGUGGGCCACUGUGUCCCAUUUGGGUGCUAGGUGUGUCAGGAGGACCCUUCUGUUGAAUUGAUAAUGUGCAUAAUUGCAUUUGUUCAUGUCCUGUGAACUAGUAACAUCCACCUGCUUUGUAUUCCAGCAGGGGACCCUUUUUAACUUAAGAGCGCUGCACUGGGACACUCUGCCUAUGCAAACCUAAUUGAUUAGACCUGAGCCUUUUGUAUUAGGAACCCUGCAUUAUCUUUACACCUAAAAGGUGCUAAUUGCCUAAGGCCAUUUCCUGCCCUAACGACUGUGUUUAAACUAGAGUCUCACACUCAAUAACCGCCUUUGCAUAAGAGUAGAGGAUACUUGUGACAGUUAAGUGGUUUGAUUGCAGCUACAGACCCUGCUGUUAGACUAGCAUCCAUUCCCCUCCUAGAUGAUUCACAUGACCACAAUCCGUACUAGGGACUGUUAAUGGGUUUAAAUGCAGCUACAGUCCUUUAUGUUAAUCUAGGAUCCCAUCCCCAACUCACUCUCUUUUCAUUACUGCAGGGCUUACAUAGGACUUGUUAACGACCUUUAUUGCCCUACUGUCGCUUCUGUUAGUCCAAGAUCCCAUUUCCACCUAACUCCCUUUUCAUUAAUGCAGAGCCUACAUGGGACUAGUGGGCUUAUUUGCACUACUGUCCCUUCUUUUAUUCUAGGAUCCCACCCCU
rnacentral:lncRNA from 1 species